rnacentral:rRNA from 1 species
AUGGAGGAGGCGGAGAAGGGGGAGAUCUUGGAGUGGAACACCAAGCCGAGCUCCAUGGAGGAGGCGGAGAAGGGGGAGAUCUUCGAGAGGAACACCAAGCUGAGGUUGGACGACCAUCCGCAGGCGACGGCGAUGGGGGUGGCCAGCCUGUUCAACGUCGACCUCAUCCUGGAUAUCCUCUCCCGCCUCCCAGCCAGAUCCGUCCACCGCUUCAAGUGCGUCUCAGUGCUCUGGCGCGACCUCAUCGCCGACCCCGCCAACCACAAGAAGCUACCCCAGACCCUUGACGGCUUCCUCUACACGACCUUCUGCAGCAGCGGGUAUCGUCACCACUUCGCCGGUUUCUCCGGCGGCGCAGCCUCCUUCGACCCUUCCCUCCCUUACCUGCAUCCUAACAAGGGUGAGGGCAUCACCCAGGUGGACGCUUGCAAUGGCCUCCUUCUCUACCGCCGCUACAACAGCAACAGGCAUGAUUACCACUUUGUUGUGUGCAAUCCCGCCACCGGGAGGUGGGUGGAGCUGCCACCUCAACCUCAAACGCAGGAGACGAUGAACAGACUUAACAAUACCGCAGGCCUGGCUUUCGAUCCAGCAGUCUCGUCCCAUUUCCAUGUUCUUUGUUUCGAGCGGACCUUUCCGAAAACUUUGAUCACAUGA